GCACCGGUGGUGCAUGGUGCACGCUGCCCCUGGGUUUGGAGGCUUCUUACGGAGAUUCAGGCAGACGGGGGUUCGAUUCCCUGCCGGUGCA